rnacentral:rRNA from 1 species
GGUUAAGCGACUAAGCGUACACGGUGGAUGCCCUGGCAGUCAGAGGCGAUGAAGGACGUGCUAAUCUGCGAUAAGCGUCGGUAAGGUGAUAUGAACCGUUAUAACCGGCGAUUUCCGAAUGGGGAAACCCAGUGUGAUUCGUCACACUAUCAUUAACUGAAUCCAUAGGUUAAUGAGGCGAACCGGGGGAACUGAAACAUCUAAGUACCCCGAGGAAAAGAAAUCAACCGAGAUUCCCCCAGUAGCGGCGAGCGAACGGGGAGGAGCCCAGAGCCUGAAUCAGUAUGUGUGUUAGUGGAAGCGUCUGGAAAGGCGCGCGAUACAGGGUGACAGCCCCGUACACAAAAAUGCACAUAUUGUGAGCUCGAUGAGUAGGGCGGGACACGUGGUAUCCUGUCUGAAUAUGGGGGGACCAUCCUCCAAGGCUAAAUACUCCUGACUGACCGAUAGUGAACCAGUACCGUGAGGGAAAGGCGAAAAGAACCCCGGCGAGGGGAGUGAAAAAGAACCUGAAACCGUGUACGUACAAGCAGUGGGAGCACGCUUAGGCGUGUGACUGCGUACCUUUUGUAUAAUGGGUCAGCGACUUAUAUUCUGUAGCAAGGUUAACCGAAUAGGGGAGCCGAAGGGAAACCGAGUCUUAACUGGGCGUUAAGUUGCAGGGUAUAGACCCGAAACCCGGUGAUCUCAGCCAUGGGCAGGUUGAAGGUUGGGUAACACUAACUGGAGGACCGAACCGACUAAUGUUGAAAAAUUAGCGGAUGACUUGUGGCUGGGGGUGAAAGGCCAAUCAAACCGGGAGAUAGCUGGUUCUCCCCGAAAGCUAUUUAGGUAGCGCCUCGUGAAUUCAUCUCCGGGGGUAGAGCACUGUUUCGGCAAGGGGGUCAUCCCGACUUACCAACCCGAUGCAAACUGCGAAUACCGGAGAAUGUUAUCACGGGAGACACACGGCGGGUGCUAACGUCCGUCGUGAAGAGGGAAACAACCCAGACCGCCAGCUAAGGUCCCAAAGUCAUGGUUAAGUGGGAAACGAUGUGGGAAGGCCCAGACAGCCAGGAUGUUGGCUUAGAAGCAGCCAUCAUUUAAAGAAAGCGUAAUAGCUCACUGGUCGAGUCGGCCUGCGCGGAAGAUGUAACGGGGCUAAACCAUGCACCGAAGCUGCGGCAGCGACGCUUAUGCGUUGUUGGGUAGGGGAGCGUUCUGUAAGCCUGCGAAGGUGUGCUGUGAGGCAUGCUGGAGGUAUCAGAAGUGCGAAUGCUGACAUAAGUAACGAUAAAGCGGGUGAAAAGCCCGCUCGCCGGAAGACCAAGGGUUCCUGUCCAACGUUAAUCGGGGCAGGGUGAGUCGACCCCUAAGGCGAGGCCGAAAGGCGUAGUCGAUGGGAAACAGGUUAAUAUUCCUGUACUUGGUGUUACUGCGAAGGGGGACGGAGAAGGCUAUGUUGGCCGGGCGACGGUUGUCCCGGUUUAAGCGUGUAGGCUGGUUUUCCAGGCAAAUCCGGAAAAUCAAGGCUGAGGCGUGAUGACGAGGCACUACGGUGCUGAAGCAACAAAUGCCCUGCUUCCAGGAAAAGCCUCUAAGCAUCAGGUAACAUCAAAUCGUACCCCAAACCGACACAGGUGGUCAGGUAGAGAAUACCAAGGCGCUUGAGAGAACUCGGGUGAAGGAACUAGGCAAAAUGGUGCCGUAACUUCGGGAGAAGGCACGCUGAUAUGUAGGUGAGGUCCCUCGCGGAUGGAGCUGAAAUCAGUCGAAGAUACCAGCUGGCUGCAACUGUUUAUUAAAAACACAGCACUGUGCAAACACGAAAGUGGACGUAUACGGUGUGACGCCUGCCCGGUGCCGGAAGGUUAAUUGAUGGGGUCAGCGCAAGCGAAGCUCUUGAUCGAAGCCCCGGUAAACGGCGGCCGUAACUAUAACGGUCCUAAGGUAGCGAAAUUCCUUGUCGGGUAAGUUCCGACCUGCACGAAUGGCGUAAUGAUGGCCAGGCUGUCUCCACCCGAGACUCAGUGAAAUUGAACUCGCUGUGAAGAUGCAGUGUACCCGCGGCAAGACGGAAAGACCCCGUGAACCUUUACUAUAGCUUGACACUGAACAUUGAGCCUUGAUGUGUAGGAUAGGUGGGAGGCUUAGAAGUGUGGACGCCAGUCUGCAUGGAGCCGACCUUGAAAUACCACCCUUUAAUGUUUGAUGUUCUAACGUUGACCCGUAAUCCGGGUUGCGGACAGUGUCUGGUGGGUAGUUUGACUGGGGCGGUCUCCUCCUAAAGAGUAACGGAGGAGCACGAAGGUUGGCUAAUCCUGGUCGGACAUCAGGAGGUUAGUGCAAUGGCAUAAGCCAGCUUGACUGCGAGCGUGACGGCGCGAGCAGGUGCGAAAGCAGGUCAUAGUGAUCCGGUGGUUCUGAAUGGAAGGGCCAUCGCUCAACGGAUAAAAGGUACUCCGGGGAUAACAGGCUGAUACCGCCCAAGAGUUCAUAUCGACGGCGGUGUUUGGCACCUCGAUGUCGGCUCAUCACAUCCUGGGGCUGAAGUAGGUCCCAAGGGUAUGGCUGUUCGCCAUUUAAAGUGGUACGCGAGCUGGGUUUAGAACGUCGUGAGACAGUUCGGUCCCUAUUCUGCCGUGGGCGCUGGAGAACUGAGGGGGGCUGCUCCUAGUACGAGAGGACCGGAGUGGACGCAUCACUGGUGUUCGGGUUGUCAUGCCAAUGGCACUGCCCGGUAGCUAAAUGCGGAAGAGAUAAGUGCUGAAAGCAUCUAAGCACGAAACUUGCCCCGAGAUGAGUUCUCCCUGACCCUUUAAGGGUCCUGAAGGAACGUUGAAGACGACGACGUUGAUAGGCCGGGUGUGUAAGCGCAGCGAUGCGUUGAGCUAACCGGUACUAAUGAACCGUGAGGCUUAACCUU